rnacentral:rRNA from 1 species
UACGGAGGGUGCAAGCGUUAAUCGGAAUUACUGGGCGUAAAGCGUGCGCAGGCGGUUUGUUAAGUCUGCUGUGAAAUCCCCGAGCUCAACUUGGGAAUUGCAGUGGAUACUGGCAAGCUGGAGUACGGUAGAGGAAGGUGGAAUUCCUGGUGUAGCAGUGAAAUGCGUAGAGAUCGGGAGGAACACCAGUGGCGAAGGCGGCCUUCUGGACCAGUACUGACGCUCAUGCACGAAAGCGUGGGGAGCAAACAGG